AUCCAACCCUGCCGAUAACUCGGGGAUAGCCUUUCGAAAGAAAGAUUAAUAUCCGAUAGUAUAUUAAAACCGCAUGGUUUUACUAUUAAAGAAUUUCGGUUAUCGAUGGGGAUGCGUUCCAUUAGUUUGUUGGCGGGGUAACGGCCCACCAAGACUACGAUGGAUAGGGGUUCUGAGAGGAAGGUCCCCCACAUUGGAACUGAGACACGGUCCAAACUCCUACGGGAGGCAGCAGUGAGGAAUAUUGGUCAAUGGACGAGAGUCUGAACCAGCCAAGUAGCGUGAAGGAUGACUGCCCUAUGGGUUGUAAACUUCUUUUAUAUGGGAAUAAAGUAUUCCACGUGUGGAAUUUUGUAUGUACCAUAUGAAUAAGGAUCGGCUAACUCCGUGCCAGCAGCCGCGGUAAUACGGAGGAUCCGAGCGUUAUCCGGAUUUAUUGGGUUUAAAGGGAGCGUAGGUGGAUUGUUAAGUCAGUUGUGAAAGUUUGCGGCUCAACCGUAAAAUUGCAGUUGAAACUGGCAGUCUUGAGUACAGUAGAGGUGGGCGGAAUUCGUGGUGUAGCGGUGAAAUGCUUAGAUAUCACGAAGAACUCCGAUUGCGAAGGCAGCUCACUAGACUGCAACUGACACUGAUGCUCGAAAGUGUGGGUAUCAAACAGGAUUAGAUACCCUGGUAGUCCACACAGUAAACGAUGAAUACUCGCUGUUUGCGAUAUACAGUAAGCGGCCAAGCGAAAGCAUUAAGUAUUCCACCUGGGGAGUA
rnacentral:rRNA from 1 species